AGAGUUUGAUCCUGGCUCAGAACGAACGUUGGCGGCGUGGAUUAGGCAUGCAAGUCGAGCGAGGACAGUUCUUGUAGCAAUACUGGGGCUGAGUCGAGCGGCGUAAGGGGCAGUAAUACCUGGGGACGUACCCUCUGGUCGGGAAUAGCUACGAGAAAUUGUAGGUAAUGCCCGAUGAACCAGAGAUGGCAAAGGCUUGCCGCCGGAGGAGCGGCCCAGGCGAUAUUAGCUAGUUGGUGGGGUAGCGGCCUACCAAGGCGAAGAUGUCUAGCGGGUGUGAGAGCACGACCCGCGCCACUGGCACUGAGACACUGGCCAGACACCUACGGGUGGCUGCAGUCGAGGAUCUUCGGCAAUGAGCGCAAGCUUGACCGAGCGACGCCGCGUGCGGGAUGAAGGCCUUCGGGUUGUAAACCGCUUUGGUCCGGAAGUAAGGAAGGCGCAAGCUGACUUGAACGACCGGAGAAACAAGCACGGGCUAAGUUCGUGCCAGCAGCCGCGGUAAGACGAACCGUGCGAACGUUGUUCGGAAUCACUGGGCUUAAAGGGCGCGUAGGCGGCCGAGCGGGUCGUGGGUGAAAUCCCCCAGCUCAACUGGGGAACUGCCCACGCUACCACUGCGGCUGGAGGAAGGCAGGGGCAUUUGGAACUGUCGGUGGAGCGGUGAAAUGCGUUGAUAUCGACAGGAACGCCGAUGGCGAAAGCAGAAUGCUGGUCCUUUUCUGACGCUGAGGCGCGAAAGCCAGGGGAGCAAACGGGAUUAGAUACCCCGGUAGUCCUGGCCUUAAACGAUGGGGCACUAGGUAGUGGGCUCGACCUGGGCGCACUGCCGCAGCGAAAGUCCUAAGUGCCCCGCCUGGGGAGUAUGGUCGCAAGGCUGAAACUCAAAGGAAUUGACGGGGGCUCACACAAGCGGUGGAGCAUGUGGCUUAAUUCGAGGCUACGCGAAGAACCUUACCCAGGCUUGACAUGUGCGAAAGCGCCAAGUGUACCUGGGGGAAACCUCAGGGAACCCCGCAAGGGGGGACUUGGUACAGGUGCUGCAUGGCUGUCGUCAGCUCGUGUCGUGAGAUGUCGGGUUAAGUCCUAUAACGAGCGAAACCCUUGCCCUUAGUUGCUACGCAAGGGCACUCUAGGGGGACUGCCGGUGUCAAACCGGAGGAAGGCGGGGACGACGUCAAGUCCUCAUGGCCCUUACGCCUGGGGCUGCACACGUGCUACAAUGCGGCAGACAAAGGGACGCCGGCCCGCAAGGGUUAGCCAAUCCCAAAAAAUGUCGCUCAGUUCAGAUUGCGGGCUGCAACUCGCCCGCAUGAAGCUGGAAUCGCUAGUAAUCGCGGAUCAGCAACGCCGCGGUGAAUGUGUUCCUGAGCCUUGUACACACCGCCCGUCAAGCCACGAAAGGGAGGGGCAUCCGAAGUCGUCGCGCUAUCCGCAAGGAAGCAGACGCCGAAGAUGAAACUCCUGAUUGGGACUAAGUCGUAACAAGGUAACC
rnacentral:rRNA from 1 species